UCGCUUUCCAAUCGAUCGAGUUGCUGUUUUUCAUUCAUAGGCUGCUGAAUUGAGAUAUUAAUUUCAAAAUUUUGCUUGUUUUCCAAUCGAUCGAGUUGUUGUUUUGGUUAUCUUUAUUACUUAGUUAAGUGAUAUAAGAAGUUCUAAUGUUUAGAAUCUAUCUGUCUGGUUGUGAAUUUUGAAAAUCUAGUGAAAUUUCUGUAGAUUGUACUGGAGAUUGUGUUAAAUGUGCUAUGUUUGAUUUUCUUUGUUACUUAAAUGAACUUGAAAUUUCUUUGUUACUUGGAAAUCUGGUGAAAUUUUGUUUGUGCAGUCACUAUGUUUUUCUAAUUUUUAUCCGGUUUUCUAGCUACGACCUUGUAUUUCGGGAACACAAAAGCUGCAUUACAAAAUAUGCAAUAGACAGUACCUGUCACAUAGGAGUCUCGAUUGAACUGUCUUAGAGAAUGCGUGUAAAGUGUGUCUUGAUAAGAAUCGAUACGACAACGAUUUAUGGCAGACAUAUUAGCUCCAAGUCAAAGAGCUUUUUAUGAUCCUGCUGUGUUCUGUAUACAUAUGUCCUAUAGUAUAAAUCCUUGGCCAAUUUCAGCAACAGUGGAAAAGCGGAAGUUGGUUGAUCCAUUCACAACAUUGAGACUACCAGUUAUGAUGGUAGAAUACAUGCCAGCACCAAAAAUUAUCAAGUUCAUUUUCUUCUUAGUAACCUCAACGUUCUCUUUGUAAAUCCCCUUCUUGACAUAGAUCAUAUACCGUGUUUUUCUCUUAUGUGGUACAGCCGUGACUACUUCAGCAACUGUUUGAUAAUCCAGUACCAUCCUGUGCCACCACUGCAUUUGCUUUAAUGGCCUUACCUGAACUCUCCAUCAUCGUCCUGUCUCGCAAACUGAUCCAGGACGACAUUCUCCCUAAAAGCCACAUAAAAACUUCCUUAUUCUUAGCCGUUACAGAUGCGAUCAUCGCCAAUGCUGCCUUAGCUCUCAAGACAAACUCAUCAAGAAUCAUUUUGUUUUCAGUACUUUUAGUAACAGAAUGUAGCUCAUCUAAGCAUGUAACGUAGUCAGACUUGUCUAACCCAAUCUACCUCAAGAAAUCCGCUAGCUACCCAUCUGUUUGGUCAGACUUAUCUAACCCAAUCUCCCACCAUUAUUGAACUUUUGUUUCCUGAAAACUAUAUAAGUCAGCUUUCCAGUAACUUGAUGAUUUAAUAAUUUCCCUUUUCUGAGUGCAAUUUAAUCCCCUCACUUUCCAGCUGAUAUUUUUUUCUAAUUUCAUCCCAGCAUAAGAAUGUCCUUCCUUCCCAGUCCCUUCUCAUCCGAAUCCGCAAAAAUUCUCUGCAAUUAUCUGCUACACUUAUCCUUUUGUAGUACUGGAGUUCUAAUUUGUAUUUGUUCCUUUCCGGCAGUCCUGUUCGUUCAGUUCUUAUGAAUAGUGCUAGUGCUUACUCUUCACAACCAGUAGUAACAGAAUGUAGCUCAUCUAAUAAAUCAUCUUAUGUUGUCGCUGAAUUAGUUAGGAGACAAAGUUAUGUUCAUCUAAAUUUAGUUAGAAGACAAAGUGGCUUUUACUGUAUCGUUGAAGGGUAAUUUGCUGUAAAGAUAAGACCAAACCAGUAGGUUCUCCGAUUUGUUCAAAUAAAUCAUUGUUUUACCUGUAACUUGUAGUGUGGUCAGAGAACUGGUUAAUAUACCUUUGAUCUUGAGAGUAUUGAGGAAUGUUCAAUUUCCAAACCUCAUCUUUGCAAGGAGGAGUUACAAACUCUACCAUAUGUUCUAGUGAAGUAAUGGGAACGGAAAUACGUAACAACUUCGUGGUUCAGGAGAAUGACUGCGUAGGAGUUAAUACUUCAUUACCUCUGUCUACUAAUGAGGUUAAGCCAUAUUUACAAGAAGUUAAAACAAGUAAGUUUUUCGAAUCAAAUUUCUAUUGAGGGUUUUUUGUCUGUGAAAGGUGUGGUAGCUGCUGUGGAGUUCCUGCCACACUCUGUGAAUCUUGUGGUUGCUACUUGUUGGCGUAGUCUACUUGUCCUUUUUUGUUUUACUAGUUAUGACAGUUGUGUUACUUGUGGAUGCGUCGUGAACCUGAAAGGAGGCUCGUUUGUGCUAGUUUCCCCAGCUACUUUUAUCUUUUGUUUGAUGCCUCCAUGAUUUCCUGAUUGUCCUUCUGUGUAAUGCAUUUCUGAUUCCAUUCUAGUUUGCUUCUGCCUCCUAGAUUUAGUUUGCUUACACUCAUAAUGACGAUAUGUCAUUGCUUUGUAGAUGGAAACUUCGUAGUUUUGGGUAGUAAAUUAAACAAAGAGCUGAAUCAUGACAACUUUGAGUGAACAGUGGAUGGAAACUAAAUUCAUAAGUUAUAUGUUAAUCAUCUUCUAUGUUUGACGAACAGUGUUUUUCCAACACCCUUGAGUGCUCCCAGAAACAAGGUUCCACUGCUGAUAUCUCGACGGCUUACCUAUAGCAUGACUUCCCAGUAGCAAGACUAACUGUUUUUCCAAUAUCCAUGAUAGAGUUGUAUCUUUUCAGCACUUUCUUUAGAAAUUUAGUGCAAAGCCAUAGUCAGAAAUAGGAAAACUCAGAUUAUUUGGCUGUAGCAGAACCUAUAACAUCUUUUGGAGCUUCUUUCACGCAGGGAGUUCUCUAAUCAAUUACGCUUCGUGAACCUUGAGUGAUUUUACCAAAAAGAAAAAAUAUAAAGCUUAAAUCAAUUACGCUACGUGAACCUUGAGUGAUUUUACCAAAAAGAACAAAUAUAAAGCUUAAAUCAAUUACGCUACGUGAACCUUGACUGAUUUUACCAAAAAGAACAAAUCUAAAGCUUAAAUCAAUUCUUUCUUAUUUUAACUGCUAAUAAUGGUACGCUACAUGAACCUUGAGUGAUUUGUAAUACUAGGUAUAAUAAUGUUAAAAGAAGGAUUGGCAUUUGAAGAUUAAAUUAAAUUAUCAAAAAAAAGAUUGGUGUUUAAGAUUUCAUUACUGGCUUGACAUUUUUUAUUGUUGUAUCAUUUAUGCAGUUGGGAAUGCCUCUUUUGGCAUACUAGCUUAAUAAAUGUGUGAAUUACUCUGGUGUGGA